UUUUAUAAUUUUGCAUAUUAGAAUUUUAUUUUUAUUGUAAAUAGCCUCCCUUGGCUAUUAGGAUUUUAAACUCCUAUUAGGAUUAGGAUUAUUUUGCAUAUUAGAGUUUUAUUUCUAUUUAGCCUCCCUUGGCUAUUAGGAUUUUAGACUCCUAUUAGGAUUAGGAUUAUUUUGCUUUAUUUCUAUUUAGCCUCCCUUGACUAUUAGGAUUUUAGACUCCUAUUAGGAUUAGGAUUAUUUUAUUUCUAUUAUAAAUAGCCUCUCUUGGCUAUUAGGAACUCACUUUUCAC
rnacentral:lncRNA from 1 species